UCACUUACCUGGUGGGGGUGAUUCAUAAUCAUGAAAGUGGUUGCCCCAGGGUGGGGCUUAUCCAUUGCUCUCCAGAUGGGCAGAUCCCUGUGAUUUUACCACAUGAGAGAGACUCAGAAUAGAAAGUC
rnacentral:snRNA from 1 species